AACUGGAUGCCUGAUAAAAAGGAUUAUUUUGAUAGAAUAAAUUAUGUAAUUUAUUACUCCCGUUA
rnacentral:tRNA from 1 species